GGCGGACGGGUGAGUAACGCGUGGGAACGUGCCCUUCUCUAUGGAAUAGCCACUGGAAACGGUGAGUAAUACCAUAUACGCCCUUCGGGGGAAAGAUUUAUCGGAGAGGGAUCGGCCCGCGUUAGAUUAGGUAGUUGGUGGGGUAAUGGCAUACCAAGCCUACGAUCUAUAGCUGGUUUUAGAGGAUGAUCAGCCACACUGGGACUGAGACACGGCCCAGACUCCUACGGGAGGCAGCAGUGGGGAAUCUUAGACAAUGGGCGCAAGCCUGAUCUAGCCAUGCCGCGUGAGUGAUGAAGGCCUUAGGGUCGUAAAGCUCUUUCGCCAGAGAUGAUAAUGACAGUAUCUGGUAAAGAAACCCCGGCUAACUCCGUGCCAGCAGCCGCGGUAAUACGGAGGGGGUUAGCGUUGUUCGGAGUUACUGGGCGUAAAGCGCAC
rnacentral:rRNA from 1 species